rnacentral:rRNA from 1 species
UACGGAGGAUCCGAGCGUUAUCCGGAUUUAUUGGGUUUAAAGGGUGCGUAGGUGGAUUGAUAAGUCAGCGGUGAAAGUUUGCAGCUUAACUGUAAAAUUGCCGUUGAAACUGUCGGUCUUGAGUGCAAAUGAGGUAGGCGGAAUGUGUUGUGUAGCGGUGAAAUGCUUAGAUAUAACACAGAACUCCGAUUGCGAAGGCAGCUUACUGGGAUGCAACUGACACUGAUGCACGAAAGCGUGGGUAUCAAACAGG